UCAGCUUUCCCUCCUCACAACCUGCUUCAGAGGAAGAUGUGGCCCUGGCCCUUGCCAAGCCCCACGUUUCAGGUGGGUGACUUGGGUCACGUUGAAUGGUUUCAACUUGCCUGGUCAUUUUUGCGGUCCCACACUGCUGUGCAAAGUGACACCACCUCUACUUCCUCAUAGAAAACCAAAACGCCAAGACAUCAGUAGAAUCUGGUGUGACAGAGAGCCCAGAUGUGGAUGAUGUCAUCUGGCCCCCUGGCGACAGCUGUGCUUGUGACUAGCCCGGAGCCC